rnacentral:rRNA from 1 species
GUACUAUGUUCAGAGUUUGAUCCUGGCUCAGGACGAACGCUGGCGGCGUGCCUAACACAUGCAAGUCGAACGAGAAUCGAUGGAUAGAGACUUCGGUCAAUUGAAGUUGAGGACAGUGGCGAACGGGUGAGUAACGCGUGAGGAACCUGCCUCUCAGUGGGGGACAACAGUUGGAAACGACUGCUAAUACCGCAUAAUGUAUUUGAACCGCAUGAUUCGAAUACCAAAGCUUUAUGUGCUGAGAGAUGGCCUCGCGUCUGAUUAGAUAGUUGGUGGGGUAACGGCCUACCAAGUCGACGAUCAGUAGCCGGGUUGAGAGACUGACCGGCCACAUUGGGACUGAGAUACGGCCCAG